AAGGGGUGACGGCGUACCUUUUGUAUAAUGGGUCAGCGACUUACGUUCAGUAGCAAGCUUAACCGUAUAGGGCAGGCGUAGCGAAAGCGAGUCCGAAUAGGGCGUUCAGUUGCUGGGCGUAGACCCGAAACCAGGUGAUCUAUCCAUGGCCAGGAUGAAGGUGCGGUAACACGUACUGGAGGUCCGAACCCACUAACGUUGAAAAGUUAGGGGAUGAGCUGUGGAUAGGGGUGAAAGGCUAAACAAACCUGGAAAUAGCUGGUUCUCUCCGAAAACUAUUUAGGUAGUGCCUCGUGUCUCACCUUCGGGGGUAGAGCACUGUCAUGGUUGGGGGGUCUAUUGCAGAUUACCCCGCCAUAGCAAACUCCGAAUACCGAAGAGUGCAAUCACGGGAGACAGACAUCGGGUGCUAACGUCCGGUGUCAAGAGGGAAACAACCCAGACCGCCAGCUAAGGUCCCCAAAUAUAGCUAAGUGGGAAACGAAGUGGGAAGGCUAAAACAGUCAGGAGGUUGGCUUAGAAGCAGCCACCCUUUAAAGAAAGCGUAAUAGCUCACUGAUCGAGUCGUCCUGCGCGGAAGAUGUAACGGGGCUAAGCUAUAUACCGAAGCUGCGGAUGCG
rnacentral:rRNA from 2 species